rnacentral:rRNA from 1 species
GAUGAACGCUGGCGGCGUGCUUAACACAUGCAAGUCGAACGAGAAAUGAUAUUACGAUCUCUUCGGAGUGACGGUUUUAUUUCGAGUGGCGGACGGGUGAGUAACGCGUGAGCAACCUGCCCUAUACCGGGGGAUACCAGUUGGAAACGACUGUUAAUACCGCAUAAGCGCACGAUAAGACAUCUUGUUGUGUGAAAAACUCCGGUGGUAUAGGAUGGGCUCGCGUAUGAUUAGCCAGUUGGCGGGGUAAAGGCCCACCAAAGCGACGAUCAUUAGCCGACCUGAGAGGGCGACCGGCCACAUUGGGACUGAGACACGGCCCAAACUCCUACGGGAGGCAGCAGUGGGGAAUAUUGUACAAUGGGCGAAAGCCUGAUGCAGCGACGCCGCGUGAGUGAGGAAGUAUUUCGGUAUGUAAAGCUCUAUCAGCAGGGAAGAAAGAAAUGACGUAC